GGAGAGGUAGGAGGAGGGGAGGAGUGAGGAAAAGAGAAGGAGAAGAGGAUGCCUAGGGUUAUCCAUCCAGCCACCUAGCCAUCCACGGAGUAAGAUGGAAAGCAAGAUAUACAGAAUAAAGAGAGGUUUAAAAAAAAGUCCAGAGGCAAAAUGUAGUUAAAGGGAAAUGGGAUAAUUUAAGUUAGAAAAGCUGUCUAGAAACAAGCCAAGCUAAGGCCAGGCAUUCAUAAGUAAGGUCAAGUCUCUGUGUGUUUAUUUUGGGAGCUGGGUGGUAGCUAUAGAGUUAAAAUAAUAAGACCACCUACAGAGGUGUAGAAUGCCAACAGGGUCAAGUACAUCCGAAUGGAUGCGAGGCUGGCAGUGUGCUUCAGGGAUGGGGGUUCAAGGGGCUUCCUCUCCAGAUGCCCCUUAGGAAGGAAUUUCUCAGAAGCCCCAUGGCUGGAGAGAAAGCAUGCCAGGUCCCCUGAUCCUGGUUGUGCAGAGGGUCAGUAGCUCAGUUCCUUUUAGUGGUAAUUUCGGCAUGAGCUUUUGGUAGUGUUCUGGAGCCUUCUGACCUAUGCUUGGUUUCCACGAGACAGGAAAGCUGUGCCUGGUGCUGUACGUCUCCUCUCCUCAGCUCGGUCUCCAGUGUGCUUCCAUGAUGGUAUGGGUUCUCUGUUUCUUCUCAGUUCCAGCUGACAUAUCCUGGCCAUGGUUUGUCGAUGGGAGAUGUUAAUUCUGUAUAUGUUUCUCUUAUUGGCUAACGAAUAAAACACUGAUUGGCCAGGCAGGAAGACAGGCGGGGCUAGGAGAGGAGGAGGAUUCUGGGAAAGGUAGGCAGAGUGAGCCCUCUGGACAAAGUCACGAUGCUGCCUGAGGAGUAACACCAUGCUGGGCAUUACCAGGUAAGCCACAGCCUUGUGGAAAUACAUAGACUGGGUUAAUAAUUGAGACAGAGUCAGCCAAUAAGAAACCCUAGUCAUCGGCUAAUAGCUUCAUAAUUAAUAUAAGUCUCUGAGUGUUCAUUUGGGGCUGAUGAGGCUGUGGGACGAGGCAGGCAGGAAGAACCAACUGUAACAGUUGAUGUUGUAGGAACAGAGUCUCGACUACCUGCUUCCCCUAGUACUUCCCAAAUGAUGGGGGUGGGACAGAGAGGAGACCACAACAGCGGGGUAGUGGAGCAGCUCAGAGUUUGUAAGUACAGGUGAUGGGCCUGCCUUCGGGAUGCCCUGACCCUGUCGGUAGCAGUAGGAGGAGGGUAACAGCUCCUCACUGUUCCUACGGACCAAACACCCAGGUGUACUAGGCAUCUGGUGACCCACUGACAGCCUCAGAGACUGUUCUUGACGGCCCCUCCCUCACCGUCAGCAGCUUGUAGAGCCUAGAACCCCGAACUGCGGGGCUCUGGCAUCUGAUCAAAAGCUGUUCUAGCGAGGCAGGUUAAAGUGGGGGCCCCUCUGGCCACUGUCCAGCCUCGCCCCUUGAGAAUGUUCUGUCCUAAGCCCUGCCUGUAUAGUGGGUGACUCUCCUUGCCUCUCGUCUCAAAGGACCAGGAAGCAAGGGAGGGUUUCCCAAGGAACAGGACAGCCAGCCAGUACCACAGCCCUUGGGUCUGCAGAACCGCAAAAGGCUGUAAAAAACGACCACCAGGCUGACCAGCGGCAAAACCCUAAAAGACAAAAAGAGCAGAUAAAAAAGCCAAAACAACAGAAACCAGUCAAGUACUCAGGACACGAUAAGAGGUGUGGGCUGUCUCUUUAGAGAGAGCCUGGCCACGUGUCCUCCUCGGUGAGAGCAUGGUCACCUGUAUGGAACAUCUUACUCAUGGUCUCCAUUUUUUCUUCUGGGCAUCCCACCGGGUUCUGACUCCCAGCUCACAGACGAGAACAUUACUUCUCACCUGGCUGAGUUACUCAAGAUCUCAACGUGAGGCAAGGUUUUAUUCAAGCUUCAACCGAGGAAAAUGGGGUCUCCCAUAGCCGCCCCCACCAUGUUGGAAGAGUAAAGAAUCAAGUUUCGUGGGAUGUAAGGCUUCCCUGUGGGCCUGGUAGAGUUCUUAUCUGUAAGUCCGUUUCUCUGAUGGCUGGAGCACAGCCUUCUGCACCGUGGCUGUGAAGGCGAGGUUCAUCUUCAAAUCCUCUCAAGCACACAGACUUCCCUGAAGGGAAGGGUUUGUUCUGAACCCCACUUUUAUUGGAUCCAGCCCAUCCAUUGUGAGGCAGCAGGUAAUCCCCGAGUCCCGAGUCUCGGGAGAUGGAGAGGUAAGUGCUUGGAACUCCACCCCCUUACCCGUUGCUCUUUUGACCCAGUCGGCUCCAGGUCAGGGUCUGAUUCUUGGGUCCCUGAAGAGUUAGCAUCAGUGUCAACUUGACAGUCAUGGUUACUGCGUGGGAGACGGGCCUCCUCGGGGCAUGCCGGUUGGUUGCCUUGUGUGUGUGUGUGUGUGCGUGUGUGUGUGUGUGUGUGUGUGUGUGUGUGUGUGUGGUUAUCUUAGUUACCCAGUGGUUGUGACCCUUACGGGCGGGGAUCCUUCCCAGAGGCAGACAUGAGAAGUGACUCAGAGGCCUGUGCCUGCCCGCCUGCCCCCUGAGGGUGGCUGUGAUGUCUCUAAUCUUCACACUCCUGUUGCCUAGACUUCCCUUAUAGGGGACAGCGCCUUGAACACUGUGAGUCGAAAUGACGUCUUAUCACAGUAAAAGAGAAGACACGACGGCCGUAUCCCAGAGCCAGUGUUUGCUGCUGGAGUGUGACCCCACGGGACCUCACAGGCAGUUUCCAGCCAAGGAUCAGGAGGUGGGCGCUGGUGACUGCCCUCAGCUCUGAACAGGGAGGGACAAAGCAAUUCUGAGUGCAGACUUUGGAGUCGGGCAGGGACAGGUUUGCUUCCUGCCUCCCUGGCUGAUGAGUGGAGGCCUUCCUCGGAGUCUUCUGCUGCUCAUCGGUCUCCCAGGAACGACAAAGCCGCGGGUCGGUGGCCUUCAGCGGACUCUGGUGGCUCAGAUGCUCCGGACAGUGUGGAUAUUGUUUCUAUUAUUCUUACCGUGGUUACUUUUAUUAAGAACUUGCUGUUCUGCCAAUGUCCUCUCCCAUCCCCCUGGCCUAGGAGGAGUAGCCCUUCAGCAAGCGCUAUUCAAGGGAUGCAGGCUCCCAUUCUCCUCUGUUCACUUUCAAUUGCCUUUUAAUGGGGGAGAGAUAAAGUGAAAUUACAGCCUUGGGUAGCAGCCUGCCUGGGCAGCUGGAACGCUCUGGCCCUGUAUCAUAUACUAUAGCUGUGUUUAUGGUCCCCAGAGCAAAGACAGGGCGCAAAUCAGACCCUUUAUUGCUUCUGCAAGCUCAGCGAGGAGAGCAAUCCAACGGGGAGAGAGGCAGAGGCCCUGGCUAUAGCAUAACACUUUGCUCCCGGGGACUCUGCGGAUCAGAGUGGGCUCUCCAGUGACAUUGGCUCACACAAACAAUAAAUGACGGCCAACCUGUGAA